rnacentral:tRNA from 1 species
GGUGAUAUAGCUCAAUGGUAGAGCACUUGCCUAGCAUGCAUGAGAGACUGAGUUUGAUCCUUAAUACCAUAA